rnacentral:rRNA from 1 species
GAUCCUGGCUCAGGAUGAACGCUAGCUACAGGCUUAACACAUGCAAGUCGAGGGGCAGCGGGAUUGAAGCUUGCUUCAAUUGCCGGCGACCGGCGCACGGGUGAGUAACGCGUAUCCAACCUUCCGUACACUCAGGGAUAGCCUUUCGAAAGAAAGAUUAAUACCUGAUGGUAUGAUGAGAUUGCAUGAUAGCAUCAUUAAAGAUUUAUCGGUGAUGGAUGGGGA